rnacentral:rRNA from 1 species
CGCCUCUUGAAUAAAAAUAAGAGGUCCAGCCUGCCCAGUGACAUGUUCAACGGCCGCGGUAUCCUAACCGUGCAAAGGUAGCGCAAUCACUUGUCCUUUAAAUGGGGACUAGUAUGAAUGGCACCACGAGGGCUAUACUGUCUCCUUUUUCUAAUCAGUGAAACUGUUCUCCCCGUGAAGAAGCGGGGAUGCAACUAUAAGACGAGAAGACCCUAUGGAGCUUUAAAUACCUCUUCAAACGUUGGAUUCUUCUAGCAAGUUACUAACUCACCUACACCGACCCUAAACGCCUUGAAGACGACUUUUAGGUUGGGGUGACCGCGGAGUACAAAACAACCUCCACAUUGAAUCAGACUUUCUAAGUCUGAGCCGAGAGCUACUGCUCAAAGCACUAAAAAAUUAACAUCCAUUGACCCAAUACUGCACUUGAUCAACGAACCAAGUUACCCUAGGGAUAACAGCGCAAUCCAUUUCAAGAGUUCAUAUCGACAAAUGGGUUUACGACCUCGAUGUUGGAUCAGGGUAUCCCAGUGGUGCAGCCGCUACUAAAGGUUCGUUUGUUCAACGAUUAAAACCC